rnacentral:lncRNA from 1 species
UCAGAGAUUUCUGGGGGCUGUUUCCAGUAAACAGAGUGCCAGCACCCACUAACCUGUAAAUAGCACCUUGUUCAGGGGGAGUGAUAUUCUUUGCUCACGGCAUUGGAAGACAUCAUAAACAUUAAUGGAGAGCGGGAUGCCAGAAUAAGUUGAUCCAAAUGAUGCAGGAAUAUUUAGCAGCAAGGAGAAAGGAAUUCACAUUUCUCAGUACCCACUAUGUGCCAUACUUUGUGAUAAGAUGGUUUCCCUCCAAUAUAUCCUCAUUGUCAGCAAUGUCGGGAAACAGGAAUCAUUUCCCCUUCUACAGGUGAUAAAACUGAAGCAAGAAACAUACAGGCUAACAUCAGCUGAGCUGAGAUUUGAACUCCACUCUUUUUGACCCUGGAGCUGAUGAAUGCUGCUUCUAGAGGUUGAGUAUCCCUUAUCCGAAAUCCUUGGAACCAGGAGAUUUUUGGAUUUGGGAAUAUUUGCAUAUACAUAAUGAGAUAUCUUGGAGAUGGGACCCAAGUCUAAAUACAAAAUUAUUUUGUUGUAUAUACACCUUGUACACAUAGACUGAAGAUAAUUUUAUACAAUAUUUUAAAUAAUUUUGUGCGUGAAACAAAGUUGUGACUAUGUCUUGACUGUAAGACAUCUUGCAUGCAACCCAUCAUAUGAGGUCAGGUGCAGAAUUUUCCAUUUGUGGUGUCAUGUUAGUGCUCAAAAAUUUUCGGAUUUUGGAGCACUUCAGACUUUCGUUUUCCAGACGGGGGAUGCUCAACCUGUCUUAGAACCUGUGGUCUCCCAUCAUGCCUCCCUUCCCCAUUCCCUUGCUCCACUGGGGUCUGAGGUGGGAAAGCAAAAGGAGUUGCAGGUAACCCUCACUUUUCACACCAGGCAAUCUCUCCCCACAAUCUGUCACAUUCCUGAAGAACAAGGAAGCAGAGCACUCCACUGAAGAAAUUCUGUUAAAAUCUAUCCCCAACGUAUAAGCAUCCAUCUUUGUCCCAGUCUGGGUCUAACAUGAACAAAGUGCUUAAACAAUUCAGUAGAGGAGAAAGGGAACUUGGAGCAGCUCUGUCACCCUGAAGUGACACUGCCAUGCUGCAUUUCCUGUCUGUAAUAUCUCUUCAGAGCAAUUGUUUUCUUCUGUGAGGACACUUCAGAGAUUCACAGAGACAGAUGCUCUUGUGACUGACCAUAGCAAGUAUCAAAAGGCCUGGGUGGAAUUACGAAGCAUUUCUCGUGCACUGCGUAUUGGGAAGUGCUUCACAGCUGUGUGGCAGAUGUGAGUGGACAGAGGGGCAAGGGAACUGCCCCAAAGGAGGUGGCAGAGGAAGCAACAAGCCAGGGAUUGGCUGGCCGGUCCCAGCACAGCAACUGCAGCAGCAGCUUGCUAAGUUUCACAGGUGAAGCCAAAGGCUGGGGGGAAUGGAAAACAAAUAUCACUCCAUUAAAUUAAGGUCUGAGGAAAACAUGAUGAGGAAAGUCAAUAGUGAAUCAAAACAUUGAAAAGCCACUAACUUUGACUUUCCAUGUGCGUGUGCAAGUUCACGUGUGCAUGUGUGUCUGCAUGUCCAAGUUCUACACUGAUUCAAGAAAUAAUUAUAGAGGGCCUGCCAUAGGAUGGUGAGCAAAACAGUCUUGGCCUCUGUCCUGAUGGAGCAUGCAGUAUCACAGACUCUAUAUGUUCUAUUUCUAGGCCUUGUAUUUUGAGGAUAUAUGCCAGUGGAAUGAGAAUGGCUCUGUGACCUUGUUUAAGUCCCACCACUGUCUCAGGCAGGGUUUUCCAAAGUGUAGUCCUUAUACUAUUAUGUGGUGAAGAUGCUUAAUUGUUUUGUAAUUAUUUAAUGUGCGUAGGUAUCACAUCAAACCCAGUAUUUUCAAGGAUUUUUAUAGCUUAAGACAAGGCUUGUUAUAGGCAAGGUGGAUCAAUUCAAAAAAUAUAUGCUAACAAAAUAAUAGUGGAGGUGGUACAAAGAAACAGCAAAGGUAGUGAGAUGGCUUCACUGGUGUUUGUGAAUCACCAAGAUAAUGCACGUGGAAAUAAAAAUCAGUGUGGUCCAUAGAAAUACAAGGGGUUCUAAUUACCCCUCAGUGAGCACUUGCUCUCUCACUCACCCCAGCAAUGACAUAUUAAGCAAAGCACUGCCCUGACUGCAUAUGCUCUUGCCGACAACUUGGCCAGCAUUCAGAAGACACUAAGUGUGCUCUGGGAACUUCAGAAGGCACUAACAUUCCAUGGAGAACUUCACAAAGAGUGAGACCUAGUCCCUGGCCUAAAGAGAGUAUAAUUUAGUAGGAAAGAGAAGACAAACACACAAAUAACUGUAAAAUGGGAUAAGCCCCAAAGUGGAGGUACAAAGUCCCAUAGAAGAGGCUCAAUGAUAAGUCACGCCUGCCGGGUAAGGUCAAGAAAGACUUCAUGGAGAUUUGAGAUGGCAUCUGAGAUAAGCCAGGAAAGACGGUAGAAUUUCAACAACCAAAAAAGUGGGGAGAGGGAUGGGAGGCAUUCCAGAGAAGGAGAAAUGCUUGAGCAAUGGUACAGAGACCAGGAAGUUAUAUGAGGGCAGAAAGUCCCUGCUGUCUAUUUAGCUGGGAUAUAGAAUGCAAGUCAGUUAGAUGAUUAGGUGGGGUUAUAACAUAACUAGCCUUAAAUAGUGGACUGAGAAUUUUCCACUUAAUUUAAUGCAAAUGGCAGGGGAGGGGGCAGGCAAUGGAGAGCUGAAAACAGGACUGGAGAUGCGCUGGAGGGAAGUAACCCUGGAAAUGGGUGAAGUACGGGUUACUGUCACCCCAGCUCUGGUUCUUGUUAUUCCCUAGGAGAAGCAUAAUAGAAGUGUGAAUUUAGGGUAGCCAAAUGAUGACUUUGCAGAGGGAAUCUUUAGGACUUGUGACUUGAUUAAAAGCAGGGAGAUGGAUAGGGAACGUCCAAGGAUAACUAGAUAACUAGAGCUCUCCUGUUCCUCUGACUCAUGUGUGCUGAAACUGUAGAGUCAAACAAACACUUGUAAGUGGCGUGAUGUAAAUCCCUUAGGGGCCCAUGCCUGCCUCAAGAGAAGAACGUGUGGUCAGGAAAAACGACCGGGGGAAGUGAAAACGACACAAGACCCAGAGGAUAACCCUUAUUUUAUUCACACAUGCAAAUUUAGGCACAGCAAAAAGCAAAACGAAGUAUACCAAAUGUCAAGGGUUAAUUAUUAAUCAUUUCUAUAUUAAAUUAUGAGUUUUUCAGUAAGACACUUUUUGAUAAGAAACUUGAAUUACGUUCAUAACCAUCAAAAUAAAGAAAAUAAAAGAGACAGAUUUUCUUUGGUGGUGGGAGAACAUUAAGUAUUGUGGAAGCCUGAAAAAUGGUCCCCAAAAGAAUCUGGUCCUAAUCCUUAGAACUUGUGAGUAUUAUCUUACUUGGAAAAAGGGUUGUUUUAAGAUAAGGAUCUUGAGUUGGGAAGAUUGUCCUGAGUUAUUCAGGUAGGCUGUAAAUGCCAUCACAGGCAACCUUUUUACAUGGAUAUUUGACACAGAGUGGAGGAGACACCCAUAGGAGAAGGCUAUGUGAAGACAUAGCAUCGAGACACUUGAAGAUAUUGGCCUUCAAAUGGCACAGCCACAAGCAAAGGAAUGCCAGCAGCCACCAGGAAAAAGCAAAGAAUGGAUUCUCACCUAAAGUCUCCAGAGGGACUGUAGAGUAUCCUGCCAACACCUUGAUUUUGACUCUGUGAAACUGAUGUCAGGCUUCUGGCCUCCAGAACUGUGAGAGAAGAAAUUUCUGUUGUUUUAAACCUUCGAAUUUGUGGUAAUGUGUUAGAGCAGCCACAGGAAACUCAUAUUCUAAACUAGCAACUAUGAAAUGAGAAUUUCUAGUGUUCAGCUAAGAUACCACCGCAGAAGCAGCUGGAUAAUAUCAGAUGAGCCGAAAACUUCUCUUACCCCAUUUCCUUAUCCAUAAAAUUAGCAAAUAAUACCUGUCUUGCAGAGUUAAUUUUAAAGUUAUACAAGUAAAUACACUUUGAAAGUGACAAGUACUAGAAAAAUGUAGGGAAUUAUCCUACAAGUCUGGGUAUCCCCACCACCCAAGGCACAUGAAUGAUGCACAAUAAAAUAUACAAUUGGUUAGAAAUAGAACAAAGUGUUGAAAGUGCUUCAAAGCUCGAAAUGUAGGGCAUGAGGAAUGAAGGAAAUUCAGUUCAGGAAUAAAAUAUUUAUUCAGCAUCACUAAUAAGCCAGGCACUCUGCCAGAACCCAAAGGUAUAAAGAGGAACAAAUGAUAAUUCCUGCCCUGUGGAUGGCUUAUAGUCUAGGGUAGCAUUUUUACAGUGUGUUCACAGACCACUAAGCUCUCAAAUUUCUAUUUAAAGAUGCCAAAGGACCCAAGAUCAAGUGCUAUAUUCUAAUAUCUACCCUCUCCAUUUCCUACCCCCUCCCACAACCACACUUUCUGUAGACUCACAAUGUGUUAGUUAAUUUAAGGCAUUGAGUCCUGUUGUUAAUAAGCUGACUUGCCCUUAAUUAUCACAGGCUUUUCCAAAUUUCCUUGACAUGCACUAACCAUUUAACCUUGGGGAAAAGAAUGGAAUAACAUUCUUGCCUGCCUGUUGUAGCUGUCAUCAUAUUUAAAUGUAAUAAAACAUGGAAAGUGUUUAAUAAUUAUGGUGCUCUAGGCAAAAUAGCAGUCCUUCAAAAAUGCCCAUGCCCUAAUCUCCAGAACCUGUGAAUAUGUUACCUGACAUUGUAAAGCAACCUUGUAGGUGUGAUUAAAGUUACAAGCUCUGAGAAGAGAAAAUUACUCUGGAUUAUCUGGGUGGGCCCAGCUUAAUCAUAUGAACCCUUAAAAGUGGAGAAUGUUUUCCAGCUAAGGUCAGAGAAAGAGACUUGACAAAGGAAGAAGGGUCAUAGGGAUGUGAUACCGCUAGCUUUAGAGAUGAAGGAAGAGGACCACAGCCAAGAAAUGUGGGUAGCCUCUGAACACAAUACAAGGCAAGGACACGGGCUCUCUCCUUGAGCCUCUAGAAGGAGCACAGCCAUAAGGCAUUCUUAAACUAUGUCGCUUACCUUACCUACCUCAUCCACUUACUACUUGUAUGGCUAAUGGCAUGAGGAAGUCACUAAAACUCUCCGAGCCUUCCUGGCCUCCACUUAAAUGGGAGUGGUACCCACAGAGGGUCAGGAGGCUCAAUCAAAUCUCAAAUUCAUUAUCUCUUGCUUCUCAUGCACAAGUCAGUGUCAGCAGGAGGCAUCAGUGCUUCUGCAAAAAUAACUAAUUCAACAUUACUUUGUCAGAUCACAACCCUUCUUUGCUAAAACCUUCCAGAGGCUCCCUGUCUCACUCACAGAACAACCUCAUGGACUUCCUCUGUUCUCAGGAUUCUCAUGACACAAUAUGACCCCAUUUCCUCUGACUAUAGGUCCUUCCUCUCUCCCCCUUCCUGAUGGUGCUCCAGCCAUACUGGCCACCUUGCUGUUCCUGAGGCACACCAGGCAGCUUCCAGCCUCAGGACAUUUGCACUUGCUGUUUUCUCUGCUUAGAGCCCUCUUCCCCCAUAUCCACAUAGCUUGCUCCCUCAACUCCUUUAGAUCUUCAUUCGGCUAUUACCUUCUUCCUGAGGCCUUCCCUAACAACCCUAUGAAAAUUGCAAUACCUGCCAGCCAAACAUUCCCCAUCCUCCCUUCACUUUAAUUUCCGCCAUAGUAAUUUCAUCUUCUCACAUGCUGCAUAUUUAACUGUUUUGUUUACUUUCUUUCCUCCAUUGGAAUAUAAGCUCUAUCAGGGCUUUUCAUGAAGGACAUGCAAGUAGAUGCUUGAUAAAUAUUUGUUGGAUAAAUAAAUCAGUGCAUAUACCAAUCUGAAGUCACAAAAUCAAUAUGAGCAUCACCUUCCACUAAAGACAUAUCCUUUCAGUUAUCGAUGAAAAAUGAAGUUGAAAACACAAUAAUCAGCCUGUCAUUGAACAAUGCAGCUGCAGCUAAGAUCAAGUUCUUGACUGACUUUGCCGAGCCCAACCAAUUCAAAGGAAGAAUAAAAACAUGGUCAAGGGACCCAAGACCCAGCUCUUAUCCCCUACUCAGAGAAAACCCAGAGAGAACCAGCCUUCUGAUGUCUUGUCCUUCCUGGUUUUGACCAACCUCUAAAAACCAUAAGAACAGUUUGUCUCAGUAUUUCAGUACUUCCGCUUCCAGGCCCAGGAAAGAGCAGGAAGUGCAGGGGCGUGUGAAAAUCAAGAAAAAAGAAGAAUUAAACCCGCUACACAUGAAGCGCUCAAAGACUUCCUCUGUAACCUGUUGCAGCACACGAGUUUCAAUGUGCUUUCACUGAGAGCCCAGGGGGACUGUGCUGUCCCCAGAAUUUCGCACCAUGCCCCACACUCUCAAUGAACACUUGUUG